rnacentral:tmRNA from 1 species
GGGGGUGUUCCGGAAUUCGACCUCGAGUGGGAGUGACUGGCGGCAGGCCGGAGAUGAUGGCUCGGCUUCGUUAUCAAAGCCAUCAAAUUAAAUAAACGGCAACGAAGAGUUAGCCCUUGCUGCCUAAUUAAGGCGGCACGUCUUCUCUCUGACACCUGCUAGGAAAAGAAGACGACGACAGCAGGUAUAGCUCAAUCCGAGAGCCCGGGGUUUGAGCCGUAAAUUUACCGGACUCUGGCCCAAAGGUAGCGCGCUGAUUCGCGCCCCGAAGGCGAGAUCAAAUAGUCAGACAAGCCUGUAGAUGCCUUUUACAAAAACUCAAGGGACGCGGGUUCGACUCCCGCCACCUCCACCA